UAGGGUUUGAUUCUGGCUCAGAAUGAACGUUGGCGGCGUGGAUUAGGCAUGCAAGUCGCACGAGUACACCAAUUAGCUUGCUAAGAGGUGGAUAGUGGCGCAAGGGAGAGUAACGCGUGGUUACUUGCCCUCGAGACCGGGAUAGUGUUGGGAAACUGGCAGUAAUACCGGAUAACAUCUUCGGAUCAAAUGGUGUGAUUCCGCUCGAGGAUAGGACCGCGUACUAUUAGCUUGUUGGUGAGGUAACGGCUCACCAAGGCUGCGAUGGUUACCGGGUGUGAGAGCAUGGCCCGGCUCACUGGGACUGAGACACUGCCCAGACACCUACGGGUGGCUGCAGUCGAGAAUCUUCGGCAAUGGACGAAAGUCUGACCGAGCGACGCCGCGUGCGGGAUGAAGGCCCUCGGGUUGUAAACCGCUGUCAGUAGUUAGGAAGUCCAUGAGGGUUAUCUCUCAUGGUUGACCGAUCUUCAGAGGAAGGACGGGCUAAGUUCGUGCCAGCCGCCGCGGUAAUUCA
rnacentral:rRNA from 1 species